rnacentral:lncRNA from 1 species
GAGCAUUUGAAUCUAUGGGCAGGAUUCAGCAGGGGAAACAGUGACCAGGUUCUGCAGAGAGCAGGAUAGAGUGCUGAUGACAGUGGGGAAGAGGCAGAGUUAGUGCCUCCCAUAGAAAAUGGCUUGGCAAGAGUGCAGGUGGCAGGCGAAGCAGAGCCAUUUGUGUCAAAGGCAGCAUGAAGAGCAGUGGGCCAGCUAUCCAGGUCUGGGCAAAAUAGCAAGAAUGCAAGUGUAUGAGUUGAAGAAAGAAGAGGAAGAAGAUGAAUAUGCAUGGGCUAUCUCCGCUCUUCUCUAGAAAUCCUCUCACACUAAAGGAAAAGAUAAAUAAGGAGGGACAGUGACAAGUGUUCUGGCAGUGAUACGUUUUAGCAUCAUCAUUGAGUCUAGUGCCUGUGAAUUUGUAACUCCACUGAAAAACAAAGUCAUAUUGAAUUUAUGGGUCUUAAUUCACCCAGCUUGAUAAUGGUAAAAGCUUUGGGAAUUGAACUGAAUCCUUCCUUGUAACUUUAAGGAACACUCAAAAGAGAUUCCCCUCUAUCUUUUUCAUGCAUGCAAGAUUUGGGAUGCUCUACCCAACUACAGGUUAAGAAAUGCAACAUCUUGACACUUCCACAUCCAAAGCCAAGAUUGCUGUUUCUUUCAGACAGGCCCCCAAAAAGCAUUGGACAAAAUUUGACUAAAUGCUUUAUAGACCUUCCCCUUUGACUAAGAAAAAAAAACUGGUGAUUGCUUCUAUUCCAUAGAUGGAAAACCAAGAAACAGAAUUAUACUUUAUUCAUCAGGGUAUUUAGCAUUAUAUCCUUAGUGGGUGAGGCCCUUGUUUACCCUCAGGUGGUAUGCAAUUCAUGGCUAACCAGUGUAUCACUGGUACAACUAAGAUGAUUAGAUAUUACAAGUGGAAGCCUGAAGGAAUCUUCCCUGAACUGAUUGAUAUUCAACCCAUAAAUCACACCACUGCUCAUAUAGAGCAACUGCUUAUGAUAACAAGAUAACACCCAGAUCCUACUAGUUAAGAUGCCUGGCACUCAUGAUCUGGGGAAGAAUAUGAAGAGGAUGCUCCUACUGCAGAUGACUGAAACACAUACAGACUGUCUGUAAGUCAAUGAAACAGUGUGCUGCUUCUCCUCUGAUAGGCUGCUUCUUAAUUAAUCUACCCAUCAAUCAAGAGUAAUGUACCAAGUGAUGGGCCUUACUUCGGAACUCUGCCGUGGAGGCUCCAAAUACUUGUAUUGUGUGGCUUUAUGUCUGGAGACCUCAUUAUAUCAAACAAAACUCAAACUCCAGAAACCAGAAAUGUGUAUAAAGGGAGGCCUUGAAAACC